CUACGCACGGGAAAGAAAUCAGAUUAAAAAGGCUCUUGCUAAUGGGGAAGUUACUUGGUUGGAAGCCAUCUUUCCACAUCUGUUGUAAAUAUUGUCUGCUCCAGGGAGAGCCUCACAGAGAUAAGGAAGGUCUCGGACCAGCCCAGAGGAGGAGACUGGAGCAGCAGGAGUGAGAAGAUUGUACUGCACUGGCAUUCCAGAAACGGUGGUCCAGGUAAGAGCAGCAGAGAGAAGAGGCAGAGCGUUUCAGAUGCUACAGAAAAUACAUUACCAGUAGCACUGGAUACUAACCCACACUGAGCACACGCGUCAUGAACAUCACUCGGAGCGGAGGCCCUCUGUCCUUACACACGUAAAGCAGAUUUGCCUCAGUAUUGUUCGCUCUGAGGGGUGAAGUAAUCAUCCACUUAGACCAGCUUAGAAUGUUUUUAUUUCCAGCUGUCCCAACAAAUUUGGGGGGAGGGAUAGCUCAGUGGUUUGAGCGUUGGCCUGCUAAACCCAGGGUUGUGAGUUCAAUCCUUGAGGGGGCCAUUUAGGGCUCUGGGGCAAAAAUUGGGGAUUGGUCCUGCUUUGAGCAGGGGGUUGGACUAGAUGACCUCCUGACGUCCCUUCCAACCGUGAGAUUCUAUGAUUCUAUGAAAUUCACCCCACCACUGGUUUCUGCUGUGGAAGUGUGUCUACUCCACAGAGCUGCCUUGAUUGACCCUAUCUCAGCCAACUUCUCCUGAUUCAGGCUAACAUGCGACAGUGUGACCAUGCCAUAAGUCAACAAGUGUGUGCUGCGGUGGGCUGUGACUCCCUGUGUCCGCACUAACACUGCAUCCGGUUGUGUUACACUAAGGCUUCUGGGAACGUGUCCCAGGGUUCACAGCAUCACUACAAACUGCACCACUCUCCCUAGGCAUCAUGGGAGAACUCUGCUCCCUGCCAGGGCGGAUCUGAGACUGCAAAGAUCUAAAACCUGGAAACUCCCACAAUCCACCUCGUUCCAGGAAGCCAGCAGGUGUGGUGGCAUGGAGCCCGCACACAGCAGAAACACACUGCUGCUGGUAGCCGUUUCUAUAGAGCUACUGAUGUCUUGGCAAGAGAAGCAGGUACAGCAGAAAGCAGCAAUAAGUGUCCCAGCAGCAGCCUUGCCCAGAGAAUGGCAAGGUGUGAUGCUGACAGGAGAAUGUCUCAGCCACAUGCAGCGCUUCAGGAGACAACUAAGAAGAUAAAGGGGAAUGUUUUAGACUGAGUGGAUUCAAGAAUCUGAAUCUUUACAGGCUACUUUCUACUAGACCUCCAGUCCCUGGCAAUAAGAGGUGACCUAUACUCUCAAAUGUUUGCUUUGUAUGAUGGAGACAAUAGUGAUUUAUAGGUGCUGGGGCAAACGGCUCUGUUUUGGUGCAUCUUGUGAACAAACCAGCAUAAGAAAGCUCAUUAAUUGAAUACAUGCAAAAGCCAAUUCCACCCCCCAUAAAAUGUGAGGUCUUCCCAGAGAGGGAUGUUUCAAAACCCUUUCCAGUGAGGAUUAGCAGCCGGACUGUCAUCAUCAGUACGCAACAGCACUUGAAACACGCCAGGUAAUUCAGCAUGACCAGAUGAAAGGGAAGGAGCAGUUUAAAUGUUAGUGGUGGUUACUCACUGACAGCAGCCAUACGAAUGCUCUUGCUGAAUUCUGCAAGUCAAGCUCUAGACAGGCACUGGUGCGCUAAAUGCAGCUGGCAGACGUUUCAGCCCAAGAUUAUUUAUUUUACAAAAUUUUUUAAAAAGCAGCCGAUUUGGCACUGCUAAAAUGCUGUGCAGAUUUGUGUGGUUUUCACAGAAUUGUGUGUGUCAAAAUUUCAAGAGUCAAAGGUGUUUUGACUUUUUAGUUCCACACAAUUUUGUUUGGACAUUUCCUUCAAAAUUUAUUGUUUAAAAAUAUAAAGAAAACUCAAUCAGAACAAAGUGUCUCGUUCACCCCCAAAACAAAAAUUUUGCAAAUGUUCAAUUCACUGAUAUUUUAAAAACCUCACACUACCUGGAUUUUGGCUCAAAUCCUUCCCCAAAGCAAAAAAAAAAAGAAAAAAGUUUUUGAAUUGCCAGGAUACUGAGAAACCCACACGGCUUUCAACACCAAGUGGCAUGGAGCAUGUGACAGAAACUAGGUGUUUUAAUCAGAUACAGAUAGUGAAAUUGCACAUCAGAAUAAGUUCUCUCUUUCCCGCCCCUGCACUGGGCUUGAAUGCGCGGGGUACCGCUGUUGUGACAUUAGCACAUAUGCCUUCCUCAUAGCAGAGAGGGGAUGUCAUAGGUGCAGGAAGAAGGUGUUGUGCACCAGGGAGGCUUUGCCUCAUUCCUGACCUUUGGGCAUGCUCCCUUCUCCUGCCUGCGUGGCUAACCUUGGAUGCCCACAGUGACAUGUGGAUACAUGAUGGGUGCCUGGUUUAUGAGCAGAGAUUAAAUAACUAGCUGUGCACUUUUGAA